UACGGAGGGGACUAGCGUUGUUCGGAAUUACUGGGCGUAAAGCGCACGUAGGCGGAUUUGUAAGUCAGGGGUGAAAUCCCGGGGCUCAACCUCGGAACUGCCUUUGAUACUGCAAAUCUCGAGUCCGGAAGAGGUGAGUGGAAUUCCUAGUGUAGAGGUGAAAUUCGUAGAUAUUAGGAAGAACACCAGUGGCGAAAGGCGGCUCACUGGUCCGGUACUGACGCUGAGGCACGGAAAGCGUGGGGGAGCAAACAGGG
rnacentral:rRNA from 1 species